AAAAAGAGAAUCAGAAAUUAAGACACAGAAAGUGGGUAAGAGGGAAAAAAAACUAAAGAAAAAGUCAAUCUUAAGGAGAAGAAACAGAAAUGGAGGAAGGUAGAGGGAGGAAAAGGAAGAGGGCACGUGCCGAUGUUGCUCAUGUCUGCAGAUGAGCACAGACACCCGAGGGAGGCGAUGUCAGUGUGGAGGCUAGAGAUUCAAAGAAACGUCACACAUGAAAAGGGAGAGUGGUAAAGUGAGAGACGCGCGUGGGAGAUUAAUCCUGCCUCCUGUUGGGCAGCCUGUUGUGCCAAUGUCAAAAUAACCACUGUAUUCACAAAACACCAAUUACUGUAAUAAUAAUAAUAAUGUACCAAAGUGCAUCAGCUACAUUGAUAUGCUGACAGCUCUUUUGACAGCUGCAUUCAAAAGACAUGAAUGGAAAUGUUCACAUAGUGCUAUGGAAAGAGAAACUUCAGCAAUACUGACAUUCGGUGGGACACAAAAUACGCCUGGCUAGACAAGGUGUUUGUGAGAGACACUAAAGAUCAUAAUCUAUUUUCAUGCUCUCCAUCAAAAGAAGCUGAAAGAGGCUGUGGUCCUGUAUGCAUUUAUUGUAUGAAGAAUGAGAUAUUGUUUAUUAUAUAUUUCAGACCAGCUGUGCACCUGAGCCACAGGAAGUAAAAAAAAUAUUCACAAAUUUCUCAAACCAAAGAACAUUUUGAGGCAUUAGAAUUCUAGAUGAUUUGAUGCAUGGUAUUUUAAUUAAAUGUGUACACACACACACACACACACACACACACACACAUAUGCAUGGGACCUGAGGGUACGUGCAGGAUUGAGAAGGAAGAUCUAUAGGGAAGGAGUGAUAAUGAGGUCUUAGUCAGAGUACUGCAGGCGAUGGACUGAGGUAAAGAAAAACACACUGUCUUAAUCACAUAUUUCAAUGAAGCCUUUGUAAUGUGAAUUCAACUCUUUUACAAGAAAGUCUCCCUUAGGUAGUGUGGUGAAGAGGAAAAAAUAAAGGAAAUCCACAAACUAGCACAUUCUGUGCUAGUCUAAACUACAUUUAAACAUUUAGCCAACACUUCAGAGACUUCAAGGUACACAAGCAGUUCAUGCAUUGUAGAUUCGCAAAAUAAUGGUAAGAUUUCUCAUCUCAAUGUUGUAUGCAGAAAAGAAUCAAUAAAAUACCAAAAAUCAUAAAUACAAUAAAUAUAUGAAUUGCAACUAAAAUGAUUAUUGUUUCUAAAGGCCAAUUCACACUGCACCGACAGACACAGACCAAUGCCACUUCUCAGACAUUCCAAGAUCCGACAAUGCCAAUUCAACAUGUUCAAUCAGUGAAAAAAAGUGUCAACAGAUGCCAGCGGGGUGAAUGUGUCUGUUUCUGUUUGUCUGCUUCUGUCGGUGCAGUGCAAAUUGGCCUUAACAGGUUUCCUGAACACCUAAAAAAAUAUAUUUUUGUCAACUUCAGAUAUGUACUGUCACAAUAAGAGUCACACCAGAAUGAAACACAGCAUCAGUAGUUGGCAUCCAAGACGUUGUUAAAAAUGGGAUGUAUACCUACAGUAUAAGGCCAAUUUUCAACCCCUGUUGUCUAAACUUACUGUAAAUCCAUGAUCAAUUUCACUUCCUAUUUCUCUUGUGGGUAGAGUAAAUGCAAUUAAGAUGAUAUUUCUCCCGCAAUUUCUGUAUAUGGUGCAUAACAUUCCUGUAUUUAUGCCCAAAUCUUUUUUCAAAAAACUGGACUCUAUCGUGGUUCCCAUAGGGUUUCUAAAUUCCACCUGUGUAAACCCAAAAUACUGGGAGGGCUCAGCCUACCUAAUUUUCUUUAUUAUUAUUGGGCUGCAAACCUGAGGGCCUUGACGUCAUGGAUAGAUUUGACUCCGGUGGGGGAGAUUUGGUUGGUGUUGGAACAGGAGGAAUGUCUCCCAUAUUCUAUUAAUGCAAUACUUUUAUCACCCAAAGGUAUAGCUAGUUCACUUUAUAAUCAUAACCCUGUUAUUCAUAAUUCUGUUUGUAUUUGGAAAAAGUUAAUGAAACAUUUCAAAUUCACCCAAAUGUUAUUUUUGCUGUCUAUCUCAGCUAACCCCUCUUUUUGCCUUUCAAUGUUAGAUAGUGCAUUUUAGUUUUGGACAAAUUUAGGGUUAAGAAACAUAGGGGAUUUAUAUGUAAAUGGAAAAUUUGCUUCCUUUCUUAGGAGCUGUGUGAGAAAUACAGUUUUCCAUCUAAUCACUUCUUUAGGUACCUUCAAAUAAGAGACUUACAUUUUCGUACAUUUAACAUUUCUAAUUAUGUCAUAGCUACACCCAUGUAUCUGGACACAUUUCUGGAAAGAUGUCUUAGCGUUGCUCUACAAGGGUUUAGAACAUGUGAAAAGUCCAUCUAUGGAGAACGUUAAAUCUGCCUGGGAAGAAGAACUUGCAGUAGAAAUUCCUAGUAACACAGAUGUUCCAUUAAUGCAAGACAUUGUCUCAUUCAGUUUAAAGUGACUCAUAGGCUUCAUUAUUCCAAGUGUAAAUUGAAUAAAAUAUUUCCAGAAGUGUCUCCACUGUGUGGCAAAUGUCAGUUUUUAGAUUCCAGCCUGUCUCAUUAUAGAGUUUCUGGAACAAAAUAUUCCAAGUUUUUUCAGAUACAUUCGACAUUCCUAUUGAUCCAGAUCCUAUAUUGAUUAUGUUUGGAGUUUCCAAAGAAUUUUUGACAUGUACACGGUUACAACAACAGUUUGUUUCAUAUGGGUGGAUCUCUGCCAAAAAAAAACUAUUCUUCUGUUUUGGAAGAAAAGAGAAGUUCCAACUCUUAAAUUAUGGCUGACAGAGUUGACGGGUACGCUACAUUUGGAAAGAAUCAGGUACACCCUAAUAGACAAGAUUUUGUUAUUUGAAACAAUUUGGUCCCCUUUUGUGCGCUUUCUACAAACCUGUGAUUAAUAUGUUUAUUAUGCCUUCAGUAUCUACUUUUACCACUGGAUAGCACUUAUGGGUCAAGUUUUUGGGUGGGGGGAAAUGUAUUUACAUUUUUUGUUAAAUUAUUAUUUUCAUGACUAUCGUUUGUUUUUUUAAUUUUUAUUUGUUAAAAUGUCAUUUGUAUAUGUUUGUAUUUAUAAAGUGUAAUUACAAG
ensembl:lncRNA